UUACUUACCUGGCAGGGGAGAUACCAUGAUCGGGAAGGUGGUUUUCCCAGGGCGAGGCUUAUCCAUUGCACUCUGGAUGUGCUGACCCCUGCGAUUUCCCCAGAUGUGGGAAACUCAACUGCAUAAUCUGUGGUAGUGGUGGCUGCGUUCACGUUCUCCCCUG
rnacentral:snRNA from 1 species